rnacentral:rRNA from 1 species
UACAGAGGGGGCAAGCGUUAUUCGGAAUUAUUGGGCGUAAAGGGCGCGUAGGCGGCCGGACAAGUGGAAGGUGAGAUCCCCGGGCUCAACCUGGGAACUGCCCUCCAAACUGUUUGACUUGAGUCCGGGAGAGGUGAGUGGAAUUCCAGUGUAGCGGUGAAAUGCGUAGAUAUUGGGAGGAACACCAGUGGCGAAGGCGGCUCACUGGACCGGAACUGACGCUGAGGCGCGAAAGCGUGGGGAGCAAACAGG